GACGAACGCUGGCGGCGUGCUUAACACAUGCAAGUCGAACGGAAAGGCCCUGCUUGCAGGGUACUCGAGUGGCGAACGGGUGAGUAACACGUGGGUGAUCUGCCCUGCACUUCGGGAUAAGCCUGGGAAACUGGGUCUAAUACCGGAUAGGAGCCAUUUUUAGUGUGAUGGUUGGAAAGUUUUUUCGGUGUAGGAUGAGCUCGCGGCCUAUCAGCUUGUUGGUGGGGUAAUGGCCUACCAAGGCGGCGACGGGUAGCCGGCCUGAGAGGGUGGACGGCCACAUUGGGACUGAGAUACGGCCCAGACUCCUACGGGAGGCAGCAGUGGGGAAUAUUGCACAAUGGGCGCAAGCCUGAUGCAGCGACGCCGCGUGGGGGAUGACGGCCUUCGGGUUGUAAACUCCUUUCGCUAGGGACGAAGCUUUUUGUGACGGUACCUAGAUAAGAAGCGCCGGCUAACUACGUGC
rnacentral:rRNA from 1 species